rnacentral:rRNA from 1 species
UACGUAGGGGGCAAGCGUUGUCCGGAAUCAUUGGGCGUAAAGAGCGUGUAGGCGGCUCGAUAAGUCUGCUGUGAAAGUCCAGGGCUCAACCCUGGAAGGCCGGUGGAAACUGUCGGGCUAGAGUGCGGAAGAGGCGAGUGGAAUUCCUGGUGUAGCGGUGAAAUGCGCAGAUAUCAGGAGGAACACCAAUUGCGAAGGCAGCUCGCUGGGACGUUACUGACGCUGAGACGCGAAAGCGUGGGGAGCAAACAGG